UACGUAGGGUGCAAGCGUUGUCCGGAAUUAUUGGGCGUAAAGAGCGCGUAGGCGGUCCGAUAAGUCGGCUGUGAAAGUCGAAGGGCUCAACCCUUGGAAGCCGGCCGAUACUGUCGGACUAGAGUCCGGAAGAGGCGAGUGGAAUUCCCGGUGUAGCGGUGAAAUGCGCAGAUAUCGGGAGGAACACCAAUUGCGAAGGCAGCUCGCUGGGACGGUACUGACGCUGAGGCGCGAAAGCGUGGGGAGCAAGCAGG
rnacentral:rRNA from 1 species